rnacentral:rRNA from 1 species
UUAUUAAAAACAUUUCCAUCCGUAAUUGUGGAUGGUAGUGCCUGCCCAAUGUUAAUAUUAAUGGCCGCAGUAUUCUGACUGUGCUAAGGUAGCAUAAUUAGUUGCCUCAUAAUUAGGGGAUUGUUUGAAUGGUUUGACCAGGUGGGAGGUUCUAAAUAGGGGCUUUGUUCGAAAUUGUAGGCUUGGUGCAGAUGCCAAGGGUUUAUAAUAAGACGGAAAGACCCCGAGAGCUUUAUAAGAUUUUAUUUACUUGGGGCAAGGGCAUAUUUUUUAUAUGUUUUAGGAUCCUAUGGGAUGAAGAUUUAAGUUACCUCGGGGAUAACUAGGUAAGAAACGAAGAGAGAUCCUAUCGGUUCGUUUGUU